rnacentral:misc_RNA from 1 species
GAAAGACCAUGAUCUUGGCACGUAUACCUUCAAGCAAAACCCACAUUAUAUGAUAACAGAACAAAAACAAAAUAAAAAUAAAAAUAAUUUGAGAACAACAACCCAAAUUAUUUGUUUAUAAAGUUAGGGAGGUAAUUACAUUACCAAUAACAAUAAUUAAUUACCUAAACCCCAGGUUCUAUCCAACCACUUAAGGUAAUAGUAUUCAUCAUUUCGCAACAUAGCAUAGCAAGAUUGAAACUUGCUCGAGAAUGUGAUACAAAACCCAUUCUUCCUGAUUUUGGAUAGUUAAAAAUAUCAUUUGUUCAUCAGUUCCCAGGCUCACGCAUGCCAUCAUUUAGCUGGCAUCAGAAGGCCUUGGUGAGAAAGAUGAUGGAACGGCAAAACUUGCACAAGUCUCUGAUACAAAAUCCAUCCUUCCAAAUUUUCGCAGUAGAAAGAUCUUCUGGUCGUCAAUUCCCACUUCCCAGGUUCAUACAUGUGACAUCAUUUAUCAGAGAUUUUCCAAUUCAGUAGUAGUACCUCAACUGCUCCUUGUGGUAUGCUACUGAUAAGUACAGCCAUUUUUGUCAAUGAACUGUGCAUCUCAUUUCACUUCACUGAUUGUACCCCAACUGUUCUUACACGGAAGCGAUACUGAGGCUGUGACUCUUCAUCAUCUUCAUCAUCAUCAUCUUCACUCAAGUCAUCCUCAACUCUAUCCCAACGAGCAUAAUCCAAAGCAGAGUGGCCCUUUGGUUUUGGAAUUGCUUGCCAUCCUUUGGAAAGUUGGUCAGAUGAUUCCUUCUUCCUCUGUGCUUGAGCUAUAACUUCAGCAGCAAGAGUCUUUCUAGGCUCAACUUUCCGCUGUGCUUGGGCAAUAACUUCAGCAGCAAUGGUCUUUCUAGGCUCAAAUUUUUGCUCUUUGUAUAUUUCAGAAGACCCGUUGAUGGUUGGAAUUCUAGGCACAAGUUCAGUGUUAACAGUAGCUGCACAAGGUUCAGUUUGCUGAUUAGUUCUUGCUAUUGUUAUAGCUGCAUCUUCUCCGUCUUGCUGUUCUUCCUCAGGUCUAAAUGGUUCUGCUUCAUCUUUUUCUUCCUCUUCUUCCAACUCAGCUUCAGAUUCAGGUAUUGGAGCAAGUGACAAUUGUGUCCUCAACCGAGCUUCAAGAUUUAGAUAAACUUCUGAUGAAGGGUUCAACUCCAUAAGCCUGUUGACAUCAAAGAGGGCUGAGUGGUACUCCUUGAGGGUGACCAGUGUUUGCGCCCGCAACAUCAAUGCUCCAGCGUGCUUGUGAUCAAGCUCGAGCACCGAUGUACACUCUUCAGCUGCCUUUUUGAAAUCGUGCAAUUUCAAAAAACAAGCAGCUCUGUUACUAUGCAAAGCGAUCUUCUGGGGCUUGGUUUUGGCCAUGGAAAGCGCGUCAGUGUAAAAGCCCAGCGCUUGCUCAUACUUUCCGUCUCUGUACAUCUGGUGAGCCGUAUCGAUCUUGUUCAACGGAGUAGAUGCCAUAAGUAGAGAUAUGAAAAGCCUAUAUCCGGCGUUGGAAAAUGAAAGCUAGAAAACCAGAGCUAGGAAACAGGAUUUUGGAGAGAAUGAUUGAGACAGGAAACUUCAGAGACAAAGAAAAAGAAGAAGAAAAGAAUCAGAGACAGAGCGAGAGAGAGAGAGAGAGAGUUUAAAGAUAUUUGCUUGUUGGGUUUCUACUACUGCAACUAGAGGAGACAUCCAAAGGGAUCGCAUUGAUCCUAAAAGUCUUCUCUUCUCUUCCAUAAUUUCAUCUUUUGGAUCAUGCUAUCCCUUUGGAUUCCUCCUUUGGUAGCUUCUAUAAACAUGGGGUUAACUUUAAUGCUGUGGUGCAGUACUACCACUACUUCAUCAUGCAGCACUACCACCAUCAUCAUCAACCGCCAACUGAUCAUCGGAGGGCGAAAACUCGCCGGAGAACAACCCAAUAUUCAAGUAUGUGGGGAGAAGAAAAUGCAAAUAUUGAUAGAUGAGAUGCAUUUUGUCCCUAAGAAAUGAAGAGAGAUCAGUUCCAAGAAAAGUUCCAAAAAGGUACUCUCUCUUGAUCUUCUCCUUCCUCAUAUGUAUUGCUGUUUUUUACAGUUGUGAUGAAUUGAUUUAAUUACUAAUUCUGCACAUACAUGGCUACACUACUUCUGGUUCAAGCUAAGAGCUAAUAAAAGUUUAACCAACGAUUUAUACAUAACUCCAUAUUUCACAAACAAGAAUUAUGUCUUUUGAGGAAGUAUCUGUACAUAGGAUCUUCAGCUGAUCUGUUUUUUUAUUUAAUUUCUUUAAAAAAAGAAAUAUAUGUAUCAAUUAUUUUCAAGCAGCUAGAAUAUAGGUGGAAGUAAUAUUUUAUCUUUGAUGGAGGUUCUUGGGCACUUAUUUCACUCCCCUACACUAGACACCCACCUCCUCCUACUUACACACUUUGCACUGCACCUUAUUUUCUAUGAAAUUUUUCUUUCUGUUGGA